CCUACGGGAGGCAGCAGUGGGGAAUUUUGGACAAUGGGGGCAACCCUGAUCCAGCCAUUCCGCGUGAGUGAAGAAGGCCUUCGGGUUGUAAAGCUCUUUCGCAAGGGAAGAAAACUUAUGAUCGAAUAAAUCAUGAGGUUGACGGUACCUUGAUAAGAAGCACCGGCUAACUACGUGCCAGCAGCCGCGGUAAUACGUAGGGUGCGAGCGUUAAUCGGAAUUACUGGGCGUAAAGCGUGCGCAGGCGGUUUUGUAAGUCGGAUGUGAAAUCCCCGGGCUCAACCUGGGAACUGCGUUCGAAACUGCAAGGCUAGAGUGUGUCAGAGGGGGGUAGAAUUCCACGUGUAGCAGUGAAAUGCGUAGAGAUGUGGAGGAAUACCAAUGGCGAAGGCAGCCCCCUGGGAUAACACUGACGCUCAUGCACGAAAGCGUGGGGAGCAAACAGGAUUAGAUACCCUGGUAGUCCACGCCCUAAACGAUGUCAACUAGUUGUUGGUAGAGUAAAAUCUAUGAGUAACGCAGCUAACGCGUGAAGUUGACCGCCUGGGGAGUACGGUCGCAAGAUUAAAACUCAAAUGAAAUUGACCGG
rnacentral:rRNA from 1 species